ACCGGAUUAGAUACCCUGGUAGUCCACCCCGUAAACGUUGGGAACUAGUUGUGGGGACCAUUCCACGGUUUCCGUGACGCAGCUAACGCAUUAAGUUCCCCGCCUGGGAGUACGGCCGCAAGGCUAAAACUCAAAGGAAUUGACGGGGACCCGCACAAGCGGCGGAGCAUGCGGAUUAAUUCGAUGCAACGCGAAGAACCUUACCAAGGCUUGACAUACACCAGAACGGGCCAGAAAUGGUCAACUCUUUGGACACUGGUGAACAGGUGGUGCAUGGUUGUCGUCAGCUCGUGUCGUGAGAUGUUGGGUUAAGUCCCGCAACGAGCGCAACCCUCGUUCUAUGUUGCCAGCACGUAAUGGUGGGAACUCAUGGGAUACUGCCGGGGUCAACUCGGAGGAAGGUGGGGAUGACGUCAAAUCAUCAUGCCCCUUAUGUCUUGGGCUUCACGCAUGCUACAAUGGCCGGUACAAAGGGCUGCAAUACCGUGAGGUGGAGCGAAUCCCAAAAAGCCGGUCCCAGUUCGGAUUGAGGUCUGCAACUCGACCUCAUGAAGUCGGAGUCGCUAGUAAUCGCAGAUCAGCAACGCUGCGGUGAAUACGUUCCCGGGUCUUGUACACACCGCCCGUCAAGUCAUGAAAGUCGGUAACACCUGAAGCCGGUGGCCCAACCCUUGUGGAGGGAGCCGUCGAAGGUGGGAUCGGUAAUUAGGACUAAGUCGUAACAAGGUAGCC
rnacentral:rRNA from 1 species